CCCGCUGAACUUAAGCAUAUCUA
rnacentral:rRNA from 1 species